rnacentral:rRNA from 1 species
GGAGGUUGUGCCCUUGAGGCGUGGCUUCCGGAGCUAACGCGUUAAAUCGACCGCCUGGGGAGUACGGCCGCAAGGUUAAAACUCAAAUGAAUUGACGGGGGCCCGCACAAGCGGUGGAGCAUGUGGUUUAAUUCGAUGCAACGCGAAGAACCUUACCUACUCUUGACAUCCAGAGAACUUGGCAGAGAUGCCUUGGUGCCUUCGGGAACUCUGAGACAGGUGCUGCAUGGCUGUCGUCAGCUCGUGUUGUGAAAUGUUGGGUUAAGUCCCGCAACGAGCGCAACCCUUACCCUUUGUUGCCAGCGAUUCGGUCGGGAACUCAAAGGAGACUGCCAGUGAUAAACUGGAGGAAGGUGGGGAUGACGUCAAGUCAUCAUGGCCCUUACGAGUAGGGCUACACACGUGCUACAAUGGCGUAUACAAAGAGAAGCGACCUCGCGAGAGCAAGCGGACCUCAUAAAGUACGUCGUAGUCCGGAUUGGAGUCUGCAACUCGACUCCAUGAAGUCGGAAUCGCUAGUAAUCGUAGAUCAGAAUGCUACGGUGAAUACGUUCCCGGGCCUUGUACACACCGCCCGUCACACCAUGGGAGUGGGUUGCAAAAGAAGUAGGUAGCUUAACCUUCGGGAGGGCGCUUACCACUUUGUGAUUCAUGACUGGGGUGAAGUCGUAACAAGGUAACCAAGGGCGAAUUCCAG